rnacentral:rRNA from 1 species
AGAGUUUGAUCCUGGCUCAGGAUGAACGCUGGCGGCGUGCUUAACACAUGCAAGUCGAACGAAGCACCUUGAUUUGAUUCUUCGGAUGAAGAUCUUGGUGACUGAGUGGCGGACGGGUGAGUAACGCGUGGGUAACCUGCCUCAUACAGGGGGAUAACAGUUAGAAAUGACUGCUAAUACCGCAUAAGACCACAGCACCGCAUGGUGCAGGGGUAAAAACUCCGGUGGUAUGAGAUGGACCCGCGUCUGAUUAGGUAGUUGGUGGGGUAACGGCCUACCAAGCCGACGAUCAGUAGCCGACCUGAGAGGGUGACCGGCCACAUUGGGACUGAGACACGGCCCAAACUCCUACGGGAGGCAGCAGUGGGGAAUAUUGCACAAUGGGGGAAACCCUGAUGCAGCGACGCCGCGUGAGCGAUGAAGUAUUUCGGUAUGUAAAGCUCUAUCAGCAGGGAAGAAAAUGACGGUACCUGACUAAGAAGCACCAGCUAAAUACGUGCCAGCAGCCGCGGUAAUACGUAUGGUGCAAGCGUUAUCCGGAUUUACUGGGUGUAAAGGGAGCGUAGACGGAGUGGCAAGUCUGAUGUGAAAACCCGGGGCUCAACCCCGGGACUGCAUUGGAAACUGUCAAUCUAGAGUACCGGAGAGGUAAGCGGAAUUCCUAGUGUAGCGGUGAAAUGCGUAGAUAUUAGGAGGAACACCAGUGGCGAAGGCGGCUUACUGGACGGUAACUGACGUUGAGGCUCGAAAGCGUGGGGAGCAAACAGGAUUAGAUACCCUGGUAGUCCACGCCGUAAACGAUGACUACUAGGUGUCGGGCAGCAAAGCUGUUCGGUGCCGCAGCAAACGCAAUAAGUAGUCCACCUGGGGAGUACGUUCGCAAGAAUGAAACUCAAAGGAAUAGACGGGGGCCCGCACAGGCAGUGGAGUAUGUGGUUUAAUUCGAAGCAACGCGAAGAACCUUACCAGGUCUUGACAUCGAGUGCAUAACUAAGAGAUUAGUGAAAUCCCUUCGGGGACACUUAGACAGGUGGUGCAUGGUUGUCGUCAGCUCGUGUCGUGAGAUGUUGGGUUAAGUCCCGCAACGAGCGCAACCCUUACCUUUAGUUGCUACGCAAGAGCACUCUAAAGGGACUGCCGUUGACAAAACGGAGGAAGGUGGGGAUGACGUCAAAUCAUCAUGCCCCUUAUGACCUGGGCUACACACGUACUACAAUGGCAAUCAACAAAGAGAAGCAAGACAGUGAUGUGGAGCAAAUCUCAAAAAAUUGUCCCAGUUCAGAUUGUAGGCUGCAACUCGCCUACAUGAAGUCGGAAUUGCUAGUAAUCGCGGAUCAGAAUGCCGCGGUGAAUACGUUCCCGGGCCUUGUACACACCGCCCGUCACACCAUGGGAGUCGGUAACACCCGAAGUCGGUAGUCUAACAGCAAUGAGGACGCCGCCGAAGGUGGGAUUGAUGACUG